CUUUGGAUCACAUUUUAUACCAAGCCUUUUGCUCAAGUACCAGCAUUUGAAGAUGGGGACUUGAAGCUCUUUGAAUCAAGGGCAAUCACUCAAUACAUUGCUCAUGUUUAUGCUAGCAAUGGCAUUCAACUAAUACUCCAAGAUCCAAUGAAAAUGGCCAUUAUGUCAGUAUGGAUGGAAGUAGAAGGCCAAAAAUUUGAACCACCAGCUUCAAAAUUAACAUGGGAGCUAGUCAUAAAACCAAUGAUUGGCUUGGGCAGUACCGAUGAUGUUAUUGUGAAGGAAAGUGAAGAACAAUUGUCUAAGGUUCUUGACAUCUACGAAACUCGAUUGACAGAGUCAAAAUACUUGGGUGGCGACUCCUUUACACUUGUUGAUUUGCAUCAUAUACCAAAUAUAUACCACCUGAUGAAUACAAAAGCUAAGGCACUGUUUGAUUCGCGCCCUCGUGUGAGUGUAUGGUGUGCUGAUAUAAUGGCUAGGCCAGCUUGGGUGAAGGGGUUGGAGAAGAU
rnacentral:misc_RNA from 1 species